rnacentral:rRNA from 1 species
CACCGGCGGCCCGAGUGGUGAUCGUGAUUAUUGGGUCUAAAGGGUCCGUAGCCGGUUUGGUCAGUCCUCCGGGAAAUCUGAUAGCUCAACUAUUAGGCUUUCGGGGGAUACUGCCAGACUUGGAACCGGGAGAUGUAAGAGGUACUACAGGGGUAGGAGUGAAAUCUUGUAAUCCCUGUGGGACCACCUGUGGCGAAGGCGUCUUACCAGAACGGGUUCGACGGUGAGGGACGAAAGCUGGGGGCACGAACCGGAUUAGAUACCCGCGUAGUCCCUGAGCGGGCUGGCAAGG